rnacentral:rRNA from 1 species
UGAGUAACACGUGGGUAACCUGCCCUAAAGUCUGGGAUACCGCUUGGAAACAGGUGCUAAUACCGGAUAACAACAAUAGCUGCAUGGCUAUUGCUUAAAAGGCGGCGAAAGCUGUCGCUAAAGGAUGGACCCGCGGUGCAUUAGCUAGUUGGUAAGGUAAUGGCUUACCAAGGCGACGAUGCAUAGCCGAGUUGAGAGACUGAUCGGCCACAUUGGGACUGAGACACGGCCCAAACUCCUACGGAAGGCAGCAG